CGGCGGACGGGUGGAGUAACACGUGGACAAUCUGCCCCCCGGCCCGGGAUAGCCCAGGGAAACCUGGAUUAAUACCGGAUGAGACGGGACCCGCGAUGGCGGGACCCGGGAAAGGCGCUGCGGCGCCGCCGGGGGAUGAGUCUGCGUCCCAUUAGCUAGACGGCGGGGUAACGGCCCACCGUGGCGACGAUGGGUAGCCGGCCUGAGAGGGUGGACGGCCACAUUGGAACUGAGACACGGUCCAGACUCCUACGGGAGGCAGCAGCUAAGAAUCUUCCGCAAUGGGCGAAAGCCUGACGGAGCCGACGCCGCGUGAACGAAGAAGGCCGUGAGGUUGUAAAGUUCUUUUCGGGAGGGGGAACAACCGUGGCAGGGAAUGGCCGCGGGAUGACGUGAAUCCCGGAAUAAGCCCCGGCUAACUACGUGCCAGCCGCCGC
rnacentral:rRNA from 1 species